rnacentral:tRNA from 1 species
GGGGAUGUGAUUCAGUGGUAGAGUGUUUACCUACCAUGCAUGAGGUCCUGGGUUUGAUCCUCAGCACCCACA